rnacentral:rRNA from 1 species
UGGCGGACGGGUGAGUAACGCGUGGGUAACCUGCCUCAUACAGGGGGAUAACAGUUAGAAAUGACUGCUAAUACCGCAUAAGACCACGGUACCGCAUGGUACAGUGGUAAAAACUCCGGUGGUAUGAGAUGGACCCGCGUCUGAUUAGGUAGUUGGUGGGGUAACGGCCUACCAAGCCGACGAUCAGUAGCCGGCCUGAGAGGGUGACCGGCCACAUUGGGACUGAGACACGGCCCAG